GACGAACCGUACGAACGUUAUUCGGAAUUACUGGGCUUAAAGGGUGCGUAGGCUGUGCAGAAAGUUGGGUGUGAAAUCCCUCAGCUUAACUGAGGAACUGCGCCCAAAACUACUGCGCUAGAGGGAGACAGGGGUAAGCGGAACUUACGGUGGAGCGGUGAAAUGUGUUGAUAUCGUAAGGAACACCGGUGGCGAAGGCGGCUUACUGGGUCUCUUCUGACGCUGAGGCACGAAAGCUAGGGGAGCAAACGGG
rnacentral:misc_RNA from 1 species